rnacentral:tRNA from 1 species
GCCGGAUUAGCUCAGAGGCCAGAGCAACCGCCCCGUAAGCGGUAGGCCCUCGGUUCGACUCCGAGAUCCGGCA